AACGCGAAGAACCUUACCUGGUCUUGACAUCUACGGAACCCUGCAGAGAUGUAGGGGUGCCUUCGGGAGCCGUAAGACAGGUGCUGCAUGGCUGUCGUCAGCUCGUGUCGUGAGAUGUUGGGUUAAGUCCCGCAACGAGCGCAACCCUUGUCCUUAGUUGCCAGCAUUCAGUUGGGAACUCUAAGGAGACCGCCGGUGACAAACCGGAGGAAGGUGGGGAUGACGUCAAGUCAUCAUGGCCUUUAUGACCAGGGCUACACACGUGCUACAAUGGUAGAUACAGAGGGAAGCCAACGCGCGAGCGGGAGCCAAUCCCAGAAAAUCUAUCGUAGUCCGGAUCGGAGUCUGCAACUCGACUCCGUGAAGUCGGAAUCGCUAGUAAUCGCAGAUCAGCAUUGCUGCGGUGAAUACGUUCCCGGGCCUUGUA
rnacentral:rRNA from 1 species